CAUCGAUGAAGAACGCAGCGAAAUGCGAUAAGUAAUGUGAAUUGCAGAAUUCCGUGAAUCAUCGAAUCUUUGAACGCACAUUGCGCCCGCCAGUAUUCUGGCGGGCAUGCCUGUUCGAGCGUCAUUUCAACCCUCAAGCCCCCGGGCUUGGUGUUGGGGCUCGGCCCGUCCCUAGCGGCGCGCCGUCCCCGAAAUCUAGUGGCGGUCACGCUGUACUCCUCUGCGUAGUAAUCUAACCUCGCAACGGGACAAAGCGCGGCCACGCCGUUAAACCCCCAACUUCUGAAGGUUGACCUCGGAUCAGGUAGGAAUACCCGCUGAACUUAAGCAUAUCAAUAAGCGGAGGAA
rnacentral:rRNA from 1 species